AAACGGAAGCCCAAGGAGGUGAAAUAACUUGCCCCGGGAUGCACAAGCAGGAAACAGAGGAGCCAGGAUUCAAACCCCCUGUGUGGCCAUCCCUGGAGCCCAGACUCUGACCGCAGCAACUUCAGCUUUCAAGUGAAAAUCAAGAUGAUGAGAUACACUGGCCAUAUGGACAAAUCCUCUUGUUUUACAAAAGAAACUAAGGCCCAGAAAUAGACUUUGGAGAUUCCUUUGCUGCAGUCAUUGGGAUGGGAAAGUGAAUGUCCUGCUGCUGAGAAUAUCACAAUGGAUCUGAAAAACUGGGCUUCCAACAUGUAAAACCAGUUUCAAGUUUUCUUUCAUUAGGGCUUCUUAAUGUGUUGGUUUUAUUCCACAAUCAAGUGAUGCUUUAAAUCUUUCAGGCAUAGGUUAAUAAAAGUCAUUUUUUCCUCUUGUGUCUAUUUCCAA